UGCGCAGGCGGAAUAUCAAGUCAGUGGUGAAAUCCUACAGCUCAACUGUAGAACUGCCAUUGAUACUGAUAUUCUUGAGUAUAGUUGUAGUGGGCGGAAUAUGUCAUGUAGCGGUGAAAUGCUUAGAUAUGACAUAGAACACCGAUCGCGAAGGCAGCUCACUAAACUAUAACUGACGCUCAGGCACGAAAGCGUGGGGAGCAAACAGGAUUAGAUACCCUGGUAGUCC
rnacentral:rRNA from 1 species